rnacentral:rRNA from 1 species
GAGGAAAGCGGGGGGCGUGCCUAAUACAUGCAAGUCGAGCGAACGGACGAGAAGCUUGCUUCUCUGAUGUUAGCGGCGGACGGGUGAGUAACACGUGGAUAACCUACCUAUAAGACUGAGAUAACUUCGGGAAACCGGAGCUAAUACCGGAUAAUAUUUUGAACCGCAUGGUUCAAAAGUGAAAGACGGUCUUGCUGUCACUUAUAGAUGGAUCCGCGCUGCAUUAGCUAGUUGGUAAGGUAACGGCUUACCAAGGCAACGAUGCAUAGCCGACCUGAGAGGGUGAUCGGCCACACUGGAACUGAGACACGGUCCAGACUCCUACGGGAGGCAGAAGUAGGGAAUCUUCCGCAAUGGGCGAAAGCCUGACGGAGCAACGCCGCGUGAGUGAUGAAGGUCUUCGGAUCGUAAAACUCUGUUAUUAGGGAAGAACAUAUGUGUAAGUAACUGUGCACAUCUUGACGGUACCUAAUCAGAAAGCCACGGCUAACUACGUG